UCGUUGUCGUUGUGGUUCUCGUCAAGGGUUGUUAAACUACAUUCUCCAGCGUCGAGGCGACAGGUACAGAGUUUUAGGUAUAUGAUAAUAUCUAUAAUACGUUUAAAUCAAAUUAAACGUUUGUAUGAGGAGUCAUUUUCGGUGUAACUUUAAAUAACCGUUUGUUUUUCUACCUUUGUAGCCGUAGCCGUUAGCUUCCUCCUGUCGUAGCUUACGUAAUGGACUUUGUCAACAGCGGAUGGAGAAAAUUUUCACUUAAAUUAUAAAAAUAUAUGAAUUUAACGUUUUAAAAUGAACAUAUAUCUCAGCUUGGCGGCUCUCUGAACACAUUAAGUUAACAUUUCUAGAGUGAUGACAAAGCUAUAAGAGCUACAGUGUCUGUAAUGUUAACAGAUGACACAGAUGUUAUCAUAGAGCUGAAUGUUCAUGAAGAUCUAACAGAGAAACACAGAGUCACUGAUAUCACUGCUUAUACAUUAUAAUAGAGGGAGAGAUGCUGUUUAAAUAAUCCACUAUCUUACUGUCAUCCUGUCUGUUUUUAACCCAUUAGGUGUGUCUCUAACCACAGGAUGGCACACUGGUUUCACAGAAACCCUCUGAAGGCUACAGCUCCUGUGUCCUUUAACUUCUAUGGAGUGGCAGGAAGUCCAGCUGCCAACAAGAUCUGCAAGUAUGUCAUCACAAACAUACUAAUACUACCAAUAAUAAUUAUAAUGAUUAAGUCUGAAUGCAUAAACCGCC